GGGGAGCGAAGUGUGGGGCGUGGGGCAACUUCUGCAAGUUCCAGGGAUGGCGAAGGGGGCAGGGGUACCUCCCGGACUAGGCCUUGGAACCCGUGACCCCCAAAUAUUUGUGAGGAGAAAGAGAGAGGAAGAGAGACGCAGUUUUCGUUUCGCGCUGCCCCCGCCCCGUCAGCCCCAAACUGGAAGCAACGCUGUAGCCAAUUUAGAUAUGCUAUAAAUUUAAGAGGUUGCCAUGGCCACGGUGCGCCCAUUGGCCGCUGGGCCCCCUACGUGCAGCGCCACGUCACCAAAUCUGAAUAAGGAUGCGCGAAUUACGCGGCGACCAGACAAAGAUGAGGAUCCGGACCGCUUGAAAGUGGGGGAAAGUGCCGGCGCCUCCGCCACCGGGGAAAGCCGCUCCGCAGCGCCGAGGCCAGCAGCCACCCGAGAUACCUGGGGAAGCCCAGAACAGGCGCCGGGGCGUGCGGCCCGUGGCAUGAGGUUGUGAACGCCACCCGCCUCCCACCACCCCACUCCGGGCAGCCCAGCGCCAGGCCAGAGAUUGCCCAAGGACUUGACCGGCUGAGUCUUGGUCCGGACCAGACUCGCCCUGCAGCUGCUGAGACAAGAGGCGAAGGGCAGCGGAGGGCCCGGCAGGCCCGAGGGCCAGGGGCCCAAAGGGAGGGCAAGGCGGCCGAAGCCGCCGGGGCGCGGGGCUAUGAUGGUGCACUGCG
rnacentral:sRNA from 1 species